AGAACGAACGCUGGCGGCAGGCCUAACACAUGCAAGUCGAACGCUGUAGCAAUACAGAGUGGCAGACGGGUGAGUAACGCGUGGGAACCUUCCCAGUGGUGCGGAAUAGCUCAGGGAAACUUGAGGUAAUACCGCAUAAGCCCUUAGGGGGAAAGAUUUAUCGCCAUUGGAUGGGCCCGCGUCGGAUUAGCUAGUUGGUGAGGUAAUGGCUCACCAAGGCAACGAUCCGUAGCUGGUUUGAGAGAAUGACCAGCCACACUGGGACUGAGACACGGCCCAGACUCCUACGGGAGGCAGCAGUGGGAAUCUUGGACAAUGGGCGCAAGCCUGAUCCAGCCAUGCCGCGUGAGUGACGAAGGCCUUAGGGUUGUAAAGCUCUUUUGCCGGGACGAUAAUGACGGUACCCGGAGAAUAAGUCCCGGCUAACUUCGUGCCAGCAGCCGC
rnacentral:rRNA from 1 species